ensembl:lncRNA
CACGGAUCAAACCUGAAUACUCCAAUCAGCCAGCAAAGCCCUGCUCAUCAAAUCAGGCUUGGAACAGUCUCUCCCUCAAUAUGCCACUCAAUCACAGAACACACUUUAAAUUAUGACCAAUUCACCCCAUUGACAUAUGUCAUAGGCUAGCUAGGUCAAGGAUGCUGCUAUCAAAAGUAUUCCGUUUGCUCUGUGCUGCCUGGUGAGAGGAGAAAAGGCUUGGAGCAUGGCUGUGUUUGCAGGUUUGGGAGACAUUUUACAUUUUGUUUUAACUGCAAAGAUAUGAGUAAACUAAAUGUGGUACUGUUGACCAUCAAUGGAAGGAGAACCGCUUUUCCGUUUCACAACAAGACGAAGGCCAGGAUUCCGGUUUGGAUCCUCGACAUCUGGGCUUUCAGGUUACUUAUAGCUAUCCUUUCAAUGGCUCUGGCCAGACGUUAUCUGUUUUACAUGAUGUGCCGUCGUCACGUAAACAAACACGUGACGUUUGGCGCAUAUAUUUUGGUUCCAGUGUGGGGCUGCAGCCUGACUUUAAUAGUUAUUCACUACACGUGGAUAUUUAAAGUAGUCAGGCAACACGGUAACAAAGUAUCAGACCGCGGGAUUCAGCUGAGGCCCUCUGUGUCGAGGCACAUCUGGAGUUGGCCUAACUCUGUUGUUUCAGCACCGCGGAUAGCACCGGGGCAAACGUUCAAAUACUUACUAGCGGCUGUAGCGUUGCGGAUUCUGUAACUCCCACGGUGCACGGUGAUCACAGUGUCUGAGGAGACCAGCACCCCUGCAGCGGAGAAAGCUCAGGAGAGAGUGAGGGCUGUGUGUCUCCUCACCCCCACCGCUAAGGAGAGGGGACAGAAGAGGACAGAGGGGAAACUGGCCAAGCGCUUUGGGUACAUCAUCACCUUCACUCUCUUCUGGAUGCCCAUGGUUGUGAUUCUGCUAAUACAGCCAUGGUGACAAGGGGCAGAGACUCAAGCUGGGUCUUGAAGGAGCUGGAGACCUCAGCCAUGAUCCUGACCUGUGUCCCUGUAGCUGUGGACCCCCUCAUCUACACCAUGGUCACCAGACAGUUCUGCUCUGAGUUCAGCAAACUGCUCUCCUCACUUCUCUGCAGGGGCUGAGGAAUCAACCCAGACCCAGGAGGACUGAGAACUGGGACCCCUGGACAGAAGUCAAGGCUGGUCUGCGGAGGAUUCAAUUGUAGUGCCCUGUCAGCACAAUAUCAUUUCAUUCAAUUGAGAAUUCUAUCAUCAUGUGCAAAUAUUCUAAUAACAUCUCACUUUUGAGGUUUUUACCUGAGUUUAUUCAGGUAAAUAUUAAAACAUGCUAGCCAGGCUGGUAGCCUUUUUAUCACAUGUAUAGAUGUAUGAAUUGAAUAGACAGUAGCUAAUGGGAUUGUACAGUAUGUGCCGUAACGAUGCCUUUAUGAGGGGUAUGACUGUUUAGCGUCUGUACUUACUGUCAUCAGCAUGUGUGAAAUUGCAAUUAGUGAAGGAAGAAAAGCUACUUACAACUAUAACACACACACACACACACACACACACACACACACACACACACACACACACACACACACACACACACACACACACACACACACACACACACACCACCACCCCCCCCAAUGUCUGUUAGUGGAUCAAUGUCUGUUAGUGGAUGACAUAAGAGACAGAGUCAGAGGUGGUUUCGGCAGAUAUAGAUGUUUUUAUCAGGCGUUUUCACAGUCGGGACACAAGACAAGGUCAUAAAUAAUAACCAACGACUGACAGGAUACGCACAGCAUUAGUGUCAACAACGACAGGAGUCAGGGGAAAGCAAAGAGUGAUGGAGAGACUGAGCCGAAGAAAAGACAAAUUGGCUAAGGGAAAAGAAAACAAAAAAGAAGAGAGGACUGACACAAUAACAGACCUUAGUGUUAAUCAUUAGGGAAAAGAUAACAAUGAUUUGACACUUUUUAGGGGAGUAUUGUGUGUUUGAUCACUGCCCCCCCUACAGUGUCAUGGUAGGCUAGACUGCAAAGUCAGCCUUUUUAUUUGAUUUAAGUCAUGAUAUGCAGGACUUGUGAUAACACUUUUCUAUUUCAACCCAAUAACGUGAACCUACUUUUACAGACUGCUGUUGUCUCCGCUUUUCUGUCA